GUACCACAUUUUCUUUCUCUCUCGUUGAAAGUUUCGGACAUUAUCAUCUUCUCCAUUUCUUCUUAUGCUUUACUGUCAUCUUGCUGAAAUUAUCCACAAAAUCACUUUAAAUCACCUUUUUCAUCCCUAAUUUGAGCUACCCAAAGGAUUUGGGCAACUUUAGUGACCUCGCAAAUAGCAAAAAUCCCUAGAUUGGUGCUGCACUUGCUUGCUGGCAAGAACACAGAAAAUUGGCCGUGAAUUUUGGGGGAAAGCCAGAGUUCGAAGACUGAAUCUUAAGGAAAACAAGAGCUAAGGGAGUGAAGGCAUAAUUUGAGGUAUGUAAUCUCAAUAUUUUCCAUCUAAUUUCGAUAUUUUUUUGUCAAAUGUAGGUCGGAUAGACUGAAUCUUGAGUUUAUGGGUCAAAUUUUCCACUUAAAUCUUGAGUAUUGGUUCAACUUCGCCGACUCAGACGGCGAUAGCUGCUUGACUGGCAAUGAUGCUAUGAAAAUUUUCGCCAUGUCCAAUUUGUCUAGGCCUGAACUCAAGCAGGUAUAUUCUGUUAUGUGUCUGGAUGGGGAAUUAUUGUACGCACAUAGUAGGUAGGUGAUGUGGAUGAAUAAUUUAAUAUCGAUUAUGGAAAGGACCUUCUCUCUCUCUCUCUCGGAGGAAAAAUGUUAAAUGUGCGAUUGGUCUACUGCUUAAGAAAUAUUAUUAGUAUAGUCGAUUUGGAGUUUUUUUUAAUUGUUUUGGUUAUUGGUUUAGUAAGUGAGUCGAAGUGCUAGAUUUAUGAAAUCUGAUGUACCUGUAUCUGCGUUUUAAUUUUAUGCACUCCAAAGUGGAAAUUGUCAAUGUCAAAGGCAGUUUUGAUAUAUUCAUCUACCAGCGGAAAACUCUAAUUGCCGUUAGGAGAUGAAAUUGAAUUACUAAGACAUUGAAGGAUUUUACCUUCGAAAUUUUUGUUAUCUCUCUUUUGCUGUUUACCUUUAUUGCAUUGAUCAUCGUCCUUACCAGGGUUUUAGAGCCAUAGCGAGCCAUAUUUCUUUUCAAUUGCUGGACUUAUGGAUUAUCCGUUCUCUAGUUUGUUUGACCAUUGUGAUUGCUACCACAGUUGGUAAUUUGCUCUUGAAACAUGUUUGUUAGCGUAUUUGAAGUGGCAGAGGAGUUUGAAUUGAACUCCAGAUAUGUUGAAUCCACAAUUUCUUAUGUUGUCUUGGGAACAUUGUUGGCUGCUUUGGUCCCUGUUCUGGGCUUUAAUCCGGUCAUGGCAUCCGAGCAUUUUGCUUCAUUUUUGGGUAAUUUGUUGUGCCAUGGUGACUGUACUUAUAGCAUUAGUAGCCUCCAGCCCAACUAAGGGUUGGAGUGGGCGUAGUCUAAAUCUGCUUGAUCCGUGCCACUAAUGCUUGUACUUGGUCCAGCAGUAUGCAAAAUGCCUGGAAUUUCUCUUUCAGGAGCUUUUGAUGUUCUUACUCAUUCGCUCAAAUUUCAGUUGCCUAGUACAUCAGAAAUUUUUACAUCUGAUUAGAGAAGGUUCAUUGUGUCUGGGCAGCAGCAGAAGCAUGUUCAAUACCCUUCAUAGUGCUAACAAGUCAAUCUCAUGAUGGCCUUCGCAUUUUUUAUGACUUCAAAGAGGCCUAUGCAUGGUUGAGCCAUAACACAGAUGUAGAUCAUAAAUCUAACUUCAUAUUUUGAUCGUGAGAAGACUGAUGCUCGUGCUGCAAGAGAUGCUCAAAAUCUGACCACAGCUGUGUAGUCUAUGCUUUAGUGGCAAAAUCUAGUAUUCUAUCUUUUGGGAAGGAUAUGUAUUGGCCAUUAGAACUUACAACUGAUUAUGUGGGAUUACUAUAUUCCCAACAUUUGUGGUUCACUUCUGUUUUGACUAAUUUGGAGAUGUGUUAUGGCCAAAUAUAUGAAUUUGUGGCAUAUAUUCUAUGUUGGUUUUGCCUUUUGUCA